rnacentral:siRNA from 1 species
AGGUGUGAUGAUAAACACCAUAGU